rnacentral:tRNA from 1 species
GCUGGCGUAGCUCAAUGGUCGAGCACCUGAUUCGUAAUCAGGUGGUUGAAGGUUCAAGUCCUUUCGCCAGCU